rnacentral:lncRNA from 1 species
UUCUCUAUGUUUCACAGUCCUGGGGGGUUUUUCCUCCUUCCCACCCUCACCAGACGAUCCUUUUUUGGGGGCCCCGUGGAUCUAGGAAAGCAGCCCAACCCUAUCCUAGAGGUUCGAGCCGUCAGACCUCCCCCCCCUUUGAGAGAUGGCAGUGUGGGGUAGUGGGUAGCCCAAGGUCGAGUCCUCAUCUUUCUCCCCCCCCCAAUCGUCUUGGCCAGGCAGACCCUGCUCCCUCCCGUCUCAGCCAUCAACCUCUGGUGUGUGGCACCCUUUUUCAGACAAGCCAGCUGUGGCAGCAAACUUGAACCCAGAGCCCGCCCCCCUCUAGAUGCCAUAACCACUGCCCCGCACUGCCUGUUGAGUCACUCCAGCCGCCCAGCCUGGUUCUCUGCCUGCCUGGGCCUCAUGCUUUUUUUCUCUCUCUCUUCCUCUCUUCAGCUGACCCAGGGAUUUCCGCUCUGCAGCUGUCUCAGCACGGGCAUGAUGGGGAGCUCCGGCGGCCUCUUACUCCCUGUCCUGGGCUUCGUCUUGCUCGCGUCCUCACUGGCCGUCCGUGGAGCCCCUGUCCUUUCUGCUCCCGAAGUGGUCUCGAUGGAAAACGGCAGGUCGAAAAACAUCACAGUGACUUUAAGCACCCCAUCCAAUGAAACGCUGGGAAUCACGUUUAACAUGACGUACGUGUCGAGGGAAAAUGUCACCAUCGUGGAGCUGCCGGAGCAAGUAAGUGGCCGACCCCGACCCCACGGGAGAGCCUUCGCAGGAAGGACCGGGGAGCUGGGGUGGGGCAGAUCCCUGCACUGCAAAAUGAGCCCAGCUUCAAAGCCUAUCGUUGCUCUGUGGGACUGGGAAAUGCCUUCGGCGCGGGGCCGCCCUGGGCGAAAGGGGGGGGGGAGAGGCCGGCUCUUCUGCCCUGCCUGA